UGCUGGUGGUGCGUCUACUUCAGCCUUGCCUGCGUGUGGCCACGAACUUUCUCGCUGAGGACCCCAGCCCAUGGGGCGACCUGUUUUGCACCUUUUUUGUUGCUGCAGACCUACCUGAUGGUCACUGGGCUGUGCUGCUGGGCACGACCCUGCCUGAUAUAUUGCUGGGAGGGUGAAUUGCAGCAGAGCUCACGCUAACCCUAGCUGCUCUGUCUCCUAGCCUGAUGGUUUUUCUUUCCACAGUUCCACUUGUGGUGGCACCAAGUCCCUUGGAGCUAGGAUUCACCUCCUGGCAUCACUGGAGACCUGAGAUCUGCCCCAAGGUGCCAUCCCUCCCUCCAUCCCAGCAUUCAUUUUUUGUCCACGACUCCAACAGCCCAGCUCUUCAUCAUCCUUCCGCUCCAUCACCGAGCCCUUGUUUGUCUGCCCGCUCCUCUCUGAUUUUAGGCUUUAACACGAGGACCCCUCUGAGGAUCUGUGCUACUCUUCCAACAAGGAAGACCCCCACAGAGCAGGGGGAGCCCCCAGCCCUUUCCCUCUCCAAAAUAUUGUAA
rnacentral:lncRNA from 1 species